rnacentral:misc_RNA from 1 species
UACAGAGGGUGCAAGCGUUAAUCGGAGUGACUGGGCGUAAAGGGCGCGUAGGUGGUAAGAUAAGUUAGGUGUGAAAGCCCUGGGCUUAACCUGGGAGGUGCACUUAAUACUGUAAUACUAGAGUAAGGUAGAGGGGAGUGGAAUUUCCGGUGUAGCGGUGAAAUGCGUAGAUAUCGGAAGGAACACCGAUGGCGAAGGCAGCUCUCUGGACCUUAACUGACACUGAGGCGCGAAAGCGUGGGGAGCAAACAGG